UUUUUUUUUUUUUUUUUUGUUUCUAAAUUGUGUACUGUAUGAAAGUUCUUAAAUUUAAUUGUGAAAAUGAAUAAUUUUUAGAUCUCCUUUGUGCAUUAAUUUGGUGAUUCCAAUAGGCUUAUUGAUUCUACCGUGAUUGUAUUGAUUUGUGUUUGGACCAAUAGCUUCUGAUAGGAUAGGAACGUUAUUAUAAAUCUAUUUUCCUGGUUUACUAUAUUUGUAUCAUGGAGGUUAGGUUUGAAAUUUGAGCUUAUAGAAUUGUAAUUUUGUUUCUCUUCUUCAGGCUUCUCUCAAUCUAUGGUAUGCAUAUGAAUGUUGCUGACCAUUCGAUUGAAUUGAUGCCUGUUUGUAUUGGUACCUCCUUAUCAUGCAUUUAAUAUCUCAUGUAAAGCCUAUUGGUUUCUAGCUUGCUAACAAAGGCAAUUGACAUCCUUGCUUCAUCUCCAUAAUAGUUUUCUGGGAUUCAGGAAGAAGCAUACAUGGAUAAUAUUUGUAAUUAGAGAAGACAUGUGGAGGGGAUCAUUGUCAAACCCAGUGCAGAGGCUGUGGCCUCCCUGAUCAAAGAAGUUAUGUAUCUUGUUCACUGCCAUGUGGAUCAGUAGGGAUUUCAGAGAUUAGGACUAUGAGGAUCAUUUUGCAAAAAAACUGAAUAAUGCCUCUUUUAUUUCUUGGGACAAAAACUGUAUAAUGGUUUUUAGAUUCAUAAAUGUCCUUUCUAUCUAUUUUGGGAUGUUGAAAUCACAUUCCAAUAGUGAAGUUGAAGUUUAC
rnacentral:misc_RNA from 1 species